rnacentral:rRNA from 1 species
UACGGAGGGUGCAAGCGUUGUUCGGAAUUACUGGGCGUAAAGCGCGUGUAGGCGGCCUUGCAAGUCAGACGUGAAAGCCCUCGGCUUAACCGGGGAAGUGCGUCUGAAACUGCUUGGCUUGAGUACGGGAGAGGGAGGCGGAAUUCCCAGUGUAGAGGUGAAAUUCGUAGAUAUUGGGAGGAACACCGGUGGCGAAAGCGGCCUCCUGGACCGAUACUGACGCUGAGACGCGAGAGCGUGGGGAGCAAACAGGAUUAGAUACCCUGGUAGUCCACGCUGUAAACGAUGGGCACUAGGUGUGGGGGGUAUCCACUCCUCCCGUGCCGAAGCUAACGCAUUAAGUGCCCCGCCUGGGGAGUACGGCCGCAAGGUUAAA